rnacentral:misc_RNA from 1 species
GUGAAUCAUCGAAUCUUUGAACGCAAAUUGCACUCCCUGGUAUUCCGGGGAGCAUGCCUGUUUGAGGGUCGUUAGAAUAAUAAAUCGAUGCGUCGUUCUUUUUGUUACUCGUGAUCGCGUCGGAAUUGAGCCGUCUUUCAAAUGCUAAUUCAUGUCAACGUGGCUUGAAAUUUAUCCAUCUGGUACGUUUGAAGCGUAUUUAAGAUCAAUUAUGAUUGCAAAUGCGCGAUGACGCACCAUCUCAUGUAGUACGAUUGA